CAGUAGCCACGGUAAUACGUAGGGGGCGAGCGUUGUCCGAAGUUACUGGGCGUAAAGCGCGCGUAGGCGGCUUCUUAAGUCUGAGGUGAAAGGUUCAACGCUUAACGUGAACAGUGCCUUGGAUACUGGGGAGCUUGAGUAUGGGAGAGGGCAGUGGAAUGGCUGGUGUAGCGGUGAAAUGCGUAGAUAUCAGUCGGAACACCCAUGGCGAAGGCAGCUGCCUGGCCUAAUACUGACGCUGAGGUGCGAAAGCGUGGGGAGCGAACGGGAUUAGAUACCCGCGUAGUCCCUGUCUCUUAUU
rnacentral:rRNA from 1 species